CUACCUUUCAUGUUACCAUGCCUGUUUUGGAAGUAGCUGACUGUUUUCACUGGGCUCCCACUGACCUAAACCAGACCCUGACACUGUCUUCUUGUUUCCAGUCAAAUGGAAGUGGUGUGCAUGUGGGCAUGUGUGUGCGUGUGUGUGUGUCGGAGAGAGACUGGGAGAAGAGCGAGACUGGGAUGGAAAGACUCUUUCCCUGAGUGAGAGAGAUUUUGAAUCAUUUUUGGGAGAUUUGUGUGUUAUUUUUCCAUUGCUUGUUUUUAUUUUUAAAAAUCUUCUCUGGUGCUAUGGAUGGCCGUGUCAUUUUUGUUACUGUUGAGCUAUAAGAAAAACACUGGCAGUUACGACAGACUGUUAAGCCAGAAGAAUUUCCUGAAGAAAAUAUCCUCAUCUGUUAUGAGUGUGGAGAUAAAUAAGGUCCAGUUCCGACGUCUGGGAUUUCGACUCUUCAGGCAAGAGGAGAGGAGAAAGAUGUUUGGCUUCUACGAAGUAAUUCACCGUCCAGAGCAUCUCGGCAUCUGGCUACUGCUGAGGAAAGAGGAGAAUGUGUGUGUGUGUGCAUGCGCACCCAUGUGUGUGUAUCUGGGGGUACCUAAAUAUUACAUUUCAGGGAUUAGUCCUUCUGUACUUUGAAUUUGAUAUGUAAUUAUGAAUAAAUAUGGAAACGUAAAAACAAAACCACUCAUGCCUUGUGAUCCUAUUGACUUUGGGAGAGCACACUUACUAUCUGUCUUCAUUCCUGUGGUCAGGUAGAGAGCAUUACAGUCGUUUUUAUAUGUGUGCAUGUUUUCAGUUACAACAGAGGCUGAAAAUGGGCAACCUUAUGAAACUAUUGUUUUGUAUAUUUUUAAUUUAAUUUAAUUUUUUUGAGACAGAGUGUCUCACUCUGUCACCCAGGCUGGAGUGCAGUGGCACGAUGUCGGCUCACUGCAACCUCCGCUUCCUGGGUUCAAGCAAUUCUCCUGUCUCAGCCUCCCAAGUAGCUGGGACUACAGGCACCUGCCACCACACCUGGCUAAUUUUUGUACUUUUAGUAGAGACGGGGUUUCACUCUGUUGGUCAGACUGGUCAUGAACUCCUGACCUUAGGUGAUCCACCUGCCUCGCCUCCCAAAGUGCUGUGAUUACAGGCGUCAGCCACUGUGCCCAGCCUGUUUCAUGUACUUUUUAAAGAUGAUUUUUACUUUUUAUUUAUGGAAAAAUUCAAAUCUAUACAGGAAUAAGGAGAAUAACAAAAUAAAAUUGACAUAGCCAUCAUCAACCUCAAGAUCUAUCAGCAUAAAAUCAAUCUUGUUUCACCUCUAACCCUCCCUCCCCACUACCCCUUUCCACCCUGCUCUGUAUUACUCUGAGGAAAAUCCCAGACCUGUCAUUUCAUCUGCAAAUAUCUCAGUACUCCCAGUGUUUGUUUGUAAUUAUGUGGUAGAAUGUCAUUAGACAUUCCAUUGCCUUUCACCAACCUGCCCUCACCGCUAGUAACUGUCUGGCCCCUAGAAGCAUUUGGGUUUACAACCUCUAAAUUUUGUAUUUUCUUAUCUGUUCUCCCCAGACUCUUCUGUUCUUGCCUUCUUAAUGCAUAAUCUGUGCUGCUACCUGUAAAUAUCCAAACUAUAUUGAUAACUGUUUCCUAAUAGUAAAUUGCAUAAUUCAAUGUCAGCUUUUUAUCCUUUGAGAGGUUUAAAUUUUAUUUUCUCGGCUAUGCUCACAUUCCUGACUGGCUAAAUAGGUUUGAACAUGCUGGUUCAUUUUCCUUUUUCUGUGCAGCUUGAUGAAAAUGGCUUUCAGGAUCUACCUUGAAAUUAAUGAUAAUCCAUCAUUAACAAUGUCACUUACUUUAGACUUUGCAAUCUUAUACCUGAGUUUUUUUUUUGUUUGUUUUUGUUUUUUUUUUUUUUUUGAGGCGGAGUCUUCACUCUGUCGCCCAGGCUGGAGUGCAGGGAUUACAGGCGUGAGCCACCGCGCCCGGCCAUACCUGAGUUUUGAAAGGCAAGUACACCAAAGAGUUUGUAUUAAUUUGAAGCAGAUGCCUCACUCUAAAAUGCUCCUACUAUUAGUACUACUGUUUAUUCCAUGGCAGUAAAUCUCUUACAUUAUCCAAAAGACUAGUAGCCUUUCCCAGAAUUUGCAAAGCACAGGGCCUGUUGGCUCUUGCUAAGCUACCUUUCAUAGAGAGAGCAAGGAAAUCUAAGUGAAACUGAUGUGAAGAACUGAUGGCUCAGGAAUGUUGGUGUUCUCUUGCAUAAGGAUGUAAUUAAAUAACAUGAUCAUUUCAUUAUAAGUAGAAAAUAGGUACAUAAACAAAUAUAACAUACCUAUUACACUUAACAAUACUAUGUAACGUAUUUCAUUUAUAACAUCAUAUAACUAUAAUGUAUACAUUUAUAUUAGUAUAUAAUAUACAUAUUACGCUUACAAAUACAAUCUGCAUUUUAUAGCUGUUCUACUAUCCAAUCGCAGAGGGAUAUUUCCAACUCAAUAAAAAUAUAGAACUAAUAAGAGAAUUAUUUUUUAAAUAGUCUAGUGUGUUUGUGUUAGUGCUUUGUUAAGUACUGAUGCACAUUUUAGAAACACCACCAGCAUGAUUAAUAUCUUGAACUAGCCACUUCCAGAAGGCAACAUUGCUCAUGUCCAGAGUGGAUAUCUAUGUUAAUAAUGGGCCCUGUGAUGUGAAUGUGAUAAAAACCAGAGUUAGAGAAAAAUGCAUGUUGCAUUCCUUAGGUAACCAAGAGCGACUGGCACUUGAGAGGAGCACAUUUAGAAAAAGUGUAACGCAUCACUGUUAAGCAGAGUGUUACGGGAAAAGGGCAGUGGCUUGGGCAGGAGUCUUCAGCAAUAUUGAUGAGAUAAAGAGAUGCUGAGGUUAGAGGAAACGCUAGAGGUGCUGUGGUUUUCUCAAUCUUUAAUUGGGAAUAAAAAAUUUUGAUUCUGGCUGGCUGCAGUGGCUCACGUCUAUAAUCCCAGCACUUUGGGAGGCCGAGGUGGGCGGAUCAUGAGGUCAGGAGAUCAAGACCAUCCUGGCUAACACGGUGAAACCCCAUCUCUACUAAACACACACACACAAAAAUUAGCCAGGCAUGGUGGCGAGCGCCUGUAGUCCCAGCUACUCGGGAGGCUACUUGGGAGGCUGAGGCAGGAGAAUGGCAUGAACCCAAGAGGCGGAGCUUGCAGUGAGCCGAGAUUGCGCCACUGCACUCCAGCCUGGGCAACACAGCGAGACUCUGUCUCAAAAAAAAAAAAAAAAAAGAAAAAAGAAAAAAAUUGAUUCUUCAAAUUCACUACGAAUUUGUUGGAUUAAUGGAGAAUAAAAAGGUGAGAUGUAUUGAGCACCAUAGAUAAAAGACCCAGAACACAGGACAAAGUAUUAUUUCAUGUAAAAUUGGGAUCUAAUGACAUAAGUUGGGGACAGUAAAGCUUUGUAGUUAAGAAUUUGGACUCUCACUCACAUUGGUUACCCUCACCGUGUGGUAUUGGCCAAGCCACUUAACCAUCCUGGGCCUUAGUUCCUUCUGUGAAAUGAGGAGCUGAUGAUUGUAUGGGUCACUGGGAGGACUGACUGAGAUAACACAUGCAAAAGAUUCUGUACCUGGCACAAAAUUAGUGCUUGAGAAACAUUAAUAACACCAGGACUCUUUUGCCCUAUCUGCACGGCUUCUACUUGGUUGAGAUAUUUGACAUUGAAAACCAGAGUCAGUGUCCCAAAGACAGUGAAUGAGGAAGGGGAAGUGCUUUUUCUUUUUGCCAUGUUCCCUCCUCUCUUGUCUCCCUCCCCUCCCACUCCACCAUUAUCAAUUCACUGUGGCACUAGACAGUGCCAGGCUACUUAAAUAACGCUGUGCACUCCCACUUGGCAGCAGGCGACUUGCCUAUGAUCCAUGAUGUGCCCAAUUCCUGGGGUUGGCUUAGACAAUCUAACAGGGACCCUCAGACCCUGGAGCCAGCUGGCUGGCCCUGCCUCCGCUAGCCUGCUUUCCCAGUGCCACAGACUCUGCUACUUGCCUCAAUUCAAAUCUGGUCUCCAGCAUACUUGUCCAUGCUAGUGGGGAUAAGAAUGAGUGUGUGUGUUUUACUUUUGAAAGCAUAUCCACGUUCUAUUGUUCUGUGCUAAUGCUUUUUUGAUGGUGUCUGUGAAUGUCUAUGUUGAAGAAAAGUACCUAAUCAUUUCUUUUUUUUUAACCCCAACCCCAAAACCUCCUCUCGCUUAAUUUAACCAACAAUGUGUCUGAGGCCUGCCUCCAUUUGUAUGCAAAUAAAAUAUAAUGCCUGUCUUAGUGAUUUCUCACACAGUGUACAUUGCUUGAUUUGAUUUUUAAAAAUUUAUUAAUUAAUUUAUUUUUGAGACAGUGUCUUGCUCGCCCAGGCUGAAGUGCAGGGACAUGAUCAUGGCUUACUGCAGCCUUGACCUUGUGGGCUCAAACAAUCCUCCCACCCCAGCCUCCUGAGUAGCUGGAACCACAGGCAUGUGCCACCACAUCUGACUAAUUUUUUUUUUUUUUUUUUUUUUUUUUUUGCAGUUUUUGUAGCAACAGGGUCUCACCAUGUCACCUAGGCUGGUCUCAAACUCCUGGGCUCAGGCAAUCCUCCUGCCUCAGCCUCCCAAAGUAUUGAGAUUAAAGGUGUGAGUCGGCCGAGCAUGUUGGCUCACGUCUGUAAUUCCAGCACUUUGGGAGUCUGAGGUGGGCAGAUCACGAGGUCAGGAGAUUGAGACCGUCCUGGUCAAUAUGGUGAAACCCUGUCUCUACUAAAAAUACAAAAAGUAACUGGGUGCGGUGGCACGCACUGGUAAUCACAGCUACUCAAGAAGCUGAGGCAGGAGAAUCGCUUAAACCUGGGAAAUGGAGGUUGCAGUGAGAUGAGAUCACACCACUGCACUCCAGCCUGGCGACAGAGUUAAAUAAAUAAAUAAACAAAUAAAAAGGUGUGAGCCACGGUGCCCAACUCAUUGCUUGAUUUUAGAUGCAGAGACAGGUCAAUUGUCUUCCUAACCUCAGCAUGGCUGCCCAAUGUUUUUAUUUCUUGUAUUUUAAAAUGUAAUUAUGGUGAAAUUUUAACCUCAGUGUCUCAACCUUAGAUGUGUCUACACAAAGGGUACUUUUUAUAGUCACCCAUUUUAAAGAUUAUGGCAUUGUGAUGGGUAAGACUGAGUCCAUCUGCUUUGCUGUGUUUGCUGACAAUGUGAGCUGCUGGGCUGCCAGAGACCAGUUGGUGAAGCAAGGAGUCCAAGUUGCCAUGUGCAGACAUGUGUGAGGGACAUUUUGGCUGCUUCACUGCUCACCAUAUGUGACUUUUAUGGCUUAUGUCCCGGGAAAUAGCUGAGAAACAGCUAUUCUGCAGCACCAUACGAGUAUAGACUCCAGAACCCAACUUUAAUCUAUAUAAUAAAAAAUACUUCUUGGGUUUGAAUUGAGUCCUUUUCUGACUGCUGUUUCAGAUGUAAGCUCUUUAAAUUCUG
ensembl:lncRNA